rnacentral:rRNA from 1 species
GACGAACCGUGCGAACGUUAUUCGGAAUCACUGGGCUUAAAGCGCGUGUAGGCGGAUGGGAACGUCGGUCGCUGAAAUCCCCCGGCUCAACCGGGGAACGGGCGCCGAAACGACCCGUCUGGAGGGACGUAGGGGGACCUGGAACUUCCGGUGGAGCGGUGAAAUGCGUUGAGAUCGGAAGGAACGCCCGUGGCGAAAGCGAGGUCCUGGACGUCUACGUGAACGCUGAGACGCGAAAGCUAGGGUAGCGAACGGG